AGAAGUUUGAUCCUGGCUCAGGAUGAACGCUAGCGGCAGGCUUAACACAUGCAAGUCGAGGGGUAGCAGGAUUUAGUUUACUAGAUUNGCCGACGNCCGGCGCACGGGUGNGUAACGCGUAUACAAUUUGCCUUUUACUNGGAGGNUAGCCAAGNGAAAUUUUGAUUAAUACUCCAUAGUAUUAUCUGAUCACCUGGUCGAGUAAUUAAAGCUCCGGCGGUAAAAGAUGAGUAUGCGUUCUAUUAGCUAGAUGGUAAGGUAACGGCUUACCAUGGCGACGAUAGAUAGGGGUCCUGAGAGGGAGAUCCCCCACACUGGUACUGAGACACGGACCAGACUCCUACGGGAGGCAGCAGUGAGGAAUAUUGGGCAAUGGAGGCAACUCUGACCCAGCCAUGCCGCGUGCAGGAAGACGGCCCUAUGGGUUGUAAACUGCUUUUAUACAGGAAGAAACUUAUCCACGUGUGGAUAACUGACGGUACUGUAAGAAUAAGGACCGGCUAACUCCGUGCCAGCAGCCGCGGUAAU
rnacentral:rRNA from 1 species